AGUUGUACAAGCUGUUCACUGGGUGGUUGGCUGAGCAUACCUUGCAGCCUGGCUGUUCCAGCUGAACAUAGGGUUUUCUUACUUUACCCCACUCCAGAGCCAAUUCACAUUGUGGUAAUAAACUCAACAAAUCUGAACUAAAAAUGUACACAGGACAGACCAUCUUCUUGCAAAGAGUGCCUGCUAAGGAUACUCACAAGGUUGCUUCCUUGAAUCACACAGCCUCAGGACACCCCAGCAGCUCGAUGUGAGACACAGUACUUCAAAUAGGUGGCUUCCAGUGAACAAAGGAGGUGCCUGGUCUCUCACUGAUCUAGUCUCAGAAGCAGCACAGCAUCCUUGGGGCUGAGUACGAUUAGUAAGCCCAGCCGGAACGUCCAAUCGUGUCCAAAAUGGAGCACGAAGCCCCCAGACAGUAAGAGGCACAUCAGAUAAUCUUGGCUCUGUGCUUUAAAAAUCCGGGCAGCUUCUCUCCAGCUCAGUUCCUUAUCUAAACAGACAUAAUAAUGUCCAUCUUACAAGACUGUUGUGAAGCUUAAAUCAGAUAAUGUAUUUAACGUGCUUGGAGCAAUGUCUGGACCAUUCAGUAAGUGUCAGCUUGUAUUAUUAGGAGUGACAUUAGCUAAGUGAGCAGUCACCAUGCCUUUUCUGCAGUCUUUGCACUGUAGGCAUGCAUACCCAGCCUCAUGAUGGGCCCUAGGAGGGGCAUCUGGAACCCAUCCCCGCUAUCAGGUUGGGGUGAUAGACGCAGACGUGACAAAUGACAACAGAAGCCAUCUGAGACUGUGUGUCAGCUCUAUCUCGCCACGGCUGCUCCUCUUUCUACACACAGACUUUGCGUCACUUUGAGGGCACGGGGACAGUGUGCAAAUGUCUUGUCAGUCUCAGUUGAAGUUUUCAACAGUAAAUAGUUGGUUUUUAUAAAACCAACACCACUCUA
rnacentral:lncRNA from 1 species